rnacentral:lncRNA from 1 species
GCUGUUUUGCUGCACUCGAUUCCCGCGGGCCCUGUUCUGUCUACUUUCCUUCCUUCGGCCCGGUUCCUCCCUCAGCACCCUCCAGACCUCCUUUACCAUCGCCUUCUUUACCAGCCAGCUUUCUCGUCCAUCCCCCGUUAAUUUCUUAAUUAGCGACUGUCCGCCGUGCGCCAGAUGCUCUCUGUCGCUCGCGCAAUUAAUCCUUUUAUCAGUCUGCUUAGUUUACAGGAGAGGGAACCGCGGCUCCGCUGCGCGGCUUUGGACGAGUCACUCGUCCUUCUUGAGGGAGGUUUGUACGUAUCAGAGACAAAGGGGCAAAUCUCUGGCCCGAGAGGGCCUGCUGGGGGAUUCUAAAACCGGAGCUGCGGGGCUUCUGCACCAAGACUAGCCUAGGAGGAACGUUGUUUCAGCAUCCGAGCUACUCUCUUUCUCCAUCCCAUCCUCUCUCCCUCCAUCCCAUCCUCUCUCCCUGUUCCCUGUGCUGGGAUGCCUUGGCCAAGGCAGAGAGCCAGCAUCCGGUCCCAUCCAUGGGGCCACGGGGCGCUUCCGUAUUGUCUGGGUGGGGGCCACCGAGAACAGAUACCUGUUUCCUCCUCCUCAAGUUGCCAUCCUCCGCCCUCUGCACCACACUGCCCUUACAAGUGGGCUGUGCCUGACUAUGACCUGCCCAGGGAUACUGGGCAGCUGAGACACAGAUUCCUUGGGCCUCCAUGCCUUUAUAAAUAGGAAUCAUGCCAGCAGCUGGGCCUGGGGAGCAAAGAGGAUAUCUGUCUUGACCCUAGCAGCAUUAUUUAGGCCACAACAGAUCUACAAGCGUUUCAAAAUAGCUUGGAGAGGACAGGUUUCCUCUUUCUUUGUAAUCUUGUAGUUGCAUCAAGCUACUGUCUACCUCUGUGGCUCUAGAAGCAUGUAAAUCAGUUAUUCAAUCUCUCCCCAGAUUCAUGGACUAUCUGCCAUGCCCCAAACACCAGGCAGAGUGCUAAGGGGACACAAAGAUGAAUAAGAUGUGACCCCUGCUCUCUAGGAUCCUGUCGCAUAGAUGAAGAGAUAGAACAUAUCCAUAAAAAGAUAACUAAUGACCGACAUUGCGUGCUGCCGACACGUGUUAUGGUCCUGCGGGCUACAGAAAUUCAGAGGAGGAAGACAGAUGACUGCAGUGUGGCAGCUGCUCCUCGGGCACUUACAGGAGCUUGUUAGGAUGAGGACAGAAGACUUCAUAGCACAGAGGGAACUGUGACACCAGCUUUAUAUCACACGAUAGAAAAUACCCAGUUCUGUGAGUUGACUGGGCAUUCUGCAUCACAAGGUGUGGCUGGGCACUGGAACAGCCGAAGUCACCUGGGAGCUGACUGGGUUGGACUGUCCAGGAUGGUUCACUCCUACGACAGUGGAUGCUCAACUGGGGCUGUCAACUGGAGCCCCCAUAGGUAACAUCUCCCAGCAUGGCAGCUCUGUUCCAAGAGGGAGUGCCGCAUGAGAAUCAGGAAGCAGCUGCAAGGUUCCUCAUGGUUUUGCCUUACAAGACACCCAGAGUUGUUUCAGCCUCAUUCUGUUUGUCAACAGGUCACUGUUUCAAGGAGGAGGGGAACUAGACUCCAGCUCUUGAUGAAAGCAGUGAUAAGGAAUUUGCAGUUCUAGUUGAUCUACUGCAGCUUUCAUGGUGUUUUUUCCAUAUACUGAUUAUAUAAUAGUAUUUGUCACCUUUUGCCAAGCGCCACGUAUUACAAUUAAGUGUCUCUUUAUCUCACAGGCUAGAUUUUCAACUUCUGGUGAGAGAUUGCAUUUUUUUUUUUUUUUUUUUUUUUGAGACAGAGUUUUGCUGUGUCACCCAGGCUAGAGUGCAGCGAUCUCGGCUCACUGCAACCUCCGCUCCCGGGUUCAAGCGAUUCUUCUGCCUCAGCCUCCCGGGUAACUGGGAUUACAGGUGCCUGCCACGCCCGGCUAAUUUUCGUAUUUUUAGUAGAGACAGGGUUUCACCAUCUUGGCCAGGCUGGUCUCGAACUCCUGACCUCAUGAUCCACCCACCUUGGCCUCCCAAAGUGCUGGGAUUACAGGUGUGAGCCACUGCGCCCGGCCGAGAGAUUGCAUUUUAUUUAACCCAAUUCUUUCAGUGACAUAGCUAUAAUAACAAUAAAGAUGUAUUAAGUUCCUCUACCAUGUGUUUGAUCCCAUCUAAUUGAACACAUGAUCUUAUCUCAUCCCUACCCUGAUAGAAUAGACGUCUCAUUUUCCAGAUUGGGAACUGAGGCACAGAAAGAUUCAGCUUUGCCCAAAAACCACAUAAUGGACAAGUGGCAGAGCCAGGAUUUGAACCACUUAAGAGCCUGUGUUUUUAUUCUCUCUCUUCUAGUGCCAUCUCACAGUCUUGGCACCAUCUUAGUAGCUUCAGGCUGCUAUAAAAAGUUACCAUAGGCUGGAUGGCUUAAGCAACAGACAUUUAUUUCUCAUGCUUAUGGAGGCUGGGAAGUUCAGGAUCCAGGUGGAGGCUGACCCCAUGUCUUUCUGGGAGGUCCAGCUGCUCCUGGACCAGAUAGUGCCAACACAAUACUUCUCAUUGUGUUAUGAUUGCCUACAGCAGGUGAAGGCCUGCUUCCUGUUUUCCAGAUGGCCGUCUUCUCAUUGUAUCUUAACAUGGUGGAAGGAGAAUGAGAAAGCUCGCUUGUGUCUCUUUUUAUAAGGGCACUAAUCCAGACGCGGAGGGCUCACCUUUACAACAGCUAAACCUGAUCACCCCCCAGAGGCCCCAUCUCCAAAUACCAUCACAUUGGGGAUUGUGCUUUGACAUAUGAAUGUGGGAGGACACGAGCAUUCAGUCCAUAACAGGCACCAAGGCACCAAGUCAGUCUGCACAAGUGUGUCGCUGGGCAGAAGAACAAAAGAGAAGGAAGAAGAAAGAACACAGUACAGAAAGUGAGUGGCGGUACCACAAAGAGUCAUCAGCAAGUGCUGAUGGUGGCUCCGGCCAGCACAUUCCAAGCAUCCUUGGGUAGCCUGAUAAAUGGAGUGCAGAAUGUUCGGUAGCUCUGCAAGGAGUGGGAGUAUUUAUUGGGUCUGAGUGCUUGAUGCGAAACUUUCCUCCAAAGUUCCAAUUUUCUAUCCGCCAAGAUAAGUGAUGGAGGUUUAUGGUUCAUGUUGUAGCACAUCCACCCAGGCCAAGGACCUACAACUCUGAAUUUCUGGCCUGCCUCCUUCCAGCUAGAAGUGAAUCUAGAUUUACAUGCCAUCAGGAACAAGCAUCGUCUUCCUGUUCUGUGAGUUCCUAGUUGUAGUAGGUACUGCUUUCAUCCUGAGAAUAUCAAUCUACAUGCACAAGGUCCCUCUCUGUGGAGGAGUAGGUACUUAAACCCAAGAUAAGUGGAAACUUUAUAUCCAAGGAGACAGAAAAUAAAAUUUCAGUAUGUUUUAUAUUAAACAACUUAUUAUACUUCUAUCCUUUUAUGAACAUAAGGUCAUCAGUAGGCCAAAAGUCUGAAAACAGUCUCAGUUCCUCAAUGUGAAUGCAAACCAUUAGUGCAAAAAAAAAAAAAAAA